UUAAAUUUAGUAUCAUUCAUCUAAUUAAUUUAAUUGCUAAACACUAAUCAAAUCAACAGGUUUGAUCCCUCACAACAGCCAUGUGUCACUGAACAAGCCACUGCUGACAAGAGCCUCUUCUAAAUGCAAUGCAACAUUUUAGUAGUAGAAGACUUUGGACUCUGCUUUCUCUAAAUGGUUUUACUGACAAGUGAUGUUGUGUUUACAUGUGUACAUCUCUACUUCAUGAAUUUAUUGUUGCUUUUUAUUCCCCAUUGACUUUCGUAUUCGUCUAAACUGCCGUCUGUAAACCAAAUUGCCUCUUGAAGCUCUAUGAAGGCAAACCAAAGUGUUAAACAGACCUACCUUUGUUCCCUCUGAUACUUUUGCAUUUAUUUCUUCAUACAGCUUCUUUCCCAAAGUUCUAAUC